GAUGAACGCUGGCGGCGUGCCUAAUACAUGCAAGUCGAGCGAACGGACGAGAAGCUUGCUUCUCUGAUGUUAGCGGCGGACGGGUGAGUAACACGUGGAUAACCUACCUAUAAGACUGGGAUAACUUCGGGAAACCGGAGCUAAUACCGGAUAAUAUUUUGAACCGCAUGGUUCAAAAGUGAAAGACGGUCUUGCUGUCACUUAUAGAUGGAUCCGCGCUGCAUUAGCUAGUUGGUAAGGUAACGGCUUACCAAGGCAACGAUGCAUAGCCGACCUGAGAGGGUGAUCGGCCACACUGGAACUGAGACACGGUCCAGACUCCUACGGGAGGCAGCAGUAGGGAAUCUUCCGCAAUGGGCGAAAGCCUGACGGAGCAACGCCGCGUGAGUGAUGAAGGUCUUCGGAUCGUAAAACUCUGUUAUUAGGGAAGAACAUAUGUGUAAGUAACUGUGCACAUCUUGACGGUACCUAAUCAGAAAGCCACGGCUAACUACGUGCCAGCAGCCGCGGUAAUACGUAGGUGGCAAGCGUUAUCCGGAAUUAUUGGGCGUAAAGCGCGCGUAGGCGGUUUUUUAAGUCUGAUGUGAAAGCCCACGGCUCAACCCGUGGAGGGUCAUUGGAAACUGGAAAACUUGAGUGCAGAAGAGGAAAGUGGAAUUCCCAUGUGUAGCGGUGAAAUGCGCAGAGAUAUGGAGGAACACCAGUGGCGAAGGCGACUUUCUGGUCUGUAACUGACGCUGAUGUGCGAAAGCGUGGGGAUCAAACAGGAUUAGAUACCCUGGUAGUCCACGCCGUAAACGAUGAGUGCUAAGUGUUAGGGGGGUUUCCGCCCCUUAGUGCUGCAGCUAACGCAUUAAGCACUCCGCCUGGGGAGUACGACCGCAAGGUUGAAACUCAAAGGAAUUGACGGGGACCCGCACAAGCGGUGGAGCAUGUGGUUUAAUUCGAAGCAACGCGAAGAACCUUACCAAAUCUUGACAUCCUUUGACAACUCUAGAGAUAGAGCCUUCCCCUUCGGGGGACAAAGUGACAGGUGGUGCAUGGUUGUCGUCAGCUCGUGUCGUGAGAUGUUGGGUUAAGUCCCGCAACGAGCGCAACCCUUAAGCUUAGUUGCCAUCAUUAAGUUGGGCACUCUAAGUUGACUGCCGGUGACAAACCGGAGGAAGGUGGGGAUGACGUCAAAUCAUCAUGCCCCUUAUGAUUUGGGCUACACACGUGCUACAAUGGACAAUACAAAGGGCAGCGAAACCGCGAGGUCAAGCAAAUCCCAUAAAGUUGUUCUCAGUUCGGAUUGUAGUCUGCAACUCGACUACAUGAAGCUGGAAUCGCUAGUAAUCGUAGAUCAGCAUGCUACGGUGAAUACGUUCCCGGGUCU
rnacentral:rRNA from 1 species